GAACCAGCACCUCAAGUGGUCAGGAGGAUUAUUGGUCCUAAAGCAUCCGUAGCCUGUUCUGUAAGUUUUCGGUUAAAUCCAUUAGCUCAACUAAUGGGCUGCCGAAAAUACUGUAGAACUAGGGAGUGGGAGAGGUAGACGGUAUUCGGUAGGAAGGGGUAAAAUCCUUUGAUCUAUUGAGGACCACCUGUGGCGAAGGCGGUCUACCAGAACACGUUCGACGGUGAGGGAUGAAAGCUGGGGGAGCAAACCGGAUUAGAAACCCUAGUAGUCC
rnacentral:rRNA from 1 species